GUUUAAAGGGGUGGGAAAGGAGCUAAAUAUCUGAGCUAACCUCCAAUUAAAGUCAAUCAUAAAAACAGCCAAUUUAAUGAGUGCGGAUUUCUUUGGCAACAGACUGCCACCAAACAUUUGGCUCCUGUUCAACAUUUUCUUUGUGAAAAAUGGCACUGCUGUUGCCGCCUGGGCUGCUGCAGCUAGACUGGCUGGAAUGAAGAAAGACUUUGAAAAAAGAAUAUCAAAAUGACUAGAAAAACUGGCGCCAGAAAUCUGUAUGGAGGACAAGAGGAACACAAUUUGGAAAAGCAGCAAUCUGUCUUUUAUAACAUCUUAUAACUAUCUAGGAUUUGCUAAUAUCAGGACAAUGUCAGAGAAAAAGAUAGUAUUAAUAUGUCCUAGAAGUCUAGAGGGGAAGUCCCUUCCUGCUUCCAGGAGCUAGUUCUAAGGGGUAAAGAGAAAACACAUGAUGGAUACAAGAGGUUAAAGACAAAUGUGCUAUACUUAACAGCUGAGAAACCUGUAUUGGUCUCAAAUUGGGUAACAGCAAAUAUGAAUUUAUAUAUAAACUUGCCUUCCUAAGUACUGGAAGGGAAAUGCUUUUUAUUUUUUCAUCCCACUUUACCAAAUAUAUAUAUUUUAAAAACUUCAUCUACUGUAUGUCAUCCAUCCAAAUAAAAAAAUUGACAUUUUAAAGAACUGACCCCAAAACAGUUAUAUCUAGAACAAAUAAAUAACAAAAGCUUGAAAGACCCUUUUUACAGUGCCUGCAAAAGAGAAAUACAUAGCAGUAAGAAAUCAAAAUAGACUUAUUAUGACUUCCAUUACAUAUGUCAGAGAACAAAGACAUAGAUUAUUUAUUUAAGAACAAUUAUAUCAUCUGUAGCCGUAAUACCUGAAUAUCAUUGAAAUUAUUAUGAGAGAUGUAGAUAUAAGACUGAAUCCAGGGGCCAUGGGGAAUAACUGCUAAUGGGUACAAAGUUUCUUUCUAUGGUAAUGUGAAUGUUCUAAAAUUAGAUUAUGGUAAUGAUUGCAGAACUCUGUAUAUAUUCUAACAAUCACUGAAUUGUACACUUUAAACAGGUGAACUUACAGUAUAUAAAUAUCUCGGUAAAGCUUUUAUAAAAAGAUUAAAGCCAAUUUUAUUCAUCUAGAAUAGAGACAACAGAACACAUGAGUUAAGUUAUAUAAGCUAUAAAGGCUCUAUAAUGUGCAGAGAAAAAUAUGUUGAAAAACAGACUUAUACAUACAGAUACUAGACUAUUUAUGUCCAACUUACAUAAAAUUUCAAAGAUAUGACAACACAUAAAAAUGUAUACUGCCAUCAUGUUUAUAAGUUUUCCUCUCUUAAUCAUGUUUAUUAAAGAGAUUUAGUAAACAUUUCAUCUUCUCAGUCAAUUGCUGACUGGUCUGAAAUAUAUAAAUAAAGUA